rnacentral:rRNA from 1 species
GACGAACGCUGGCGGCGUGCUUAACACAUGCAAGACGAACGAUGAACCCGGAGCUUGCUCCGGUGGAUUAGUGGCGAACGGGUGAGUAACACGUGAGUAACCUGCCCUUGACUCUGGGAUAACUGCGGGAAACUGUAGCUAAUACCGAAUACGACCCUCGGCGGCAUCGCCAGGGGGUGGAAAGAAUUUCGGUCAAGGAUGGACUCGCGGCCUAUCAGCUAGUUGGUGAGGCAACGGCUCACCAAGGCGACGACGGGUAGCCGGCCUGAGAGGGUGACCGGCCACACUGGGACUGAGACACGGCCCAGACUCCUACGGGAGGCAGCAGUGGGGAAUAUUGCACAAUGGGCGCAAGCCUGAUGCAGCAACGCCGCGUGAGGGAUGACGGCCUUCGGGUUGUAAACCUCUUUUAGCACCGACGAAGCGCAAGUGACGGUAGGUGCAGAAGAAGGACCGGCCAACUACGUGCCAGCCGCCGCAGUAA